rnacentral:misc_RNA from 1 species
GCAAAGGAACAACCUCACCUUGAGGAUCUUGCAGAACCAACAUACCUCCACCACCAUUAACAGCGAUGUUGGCAAGUUCACUGGCAACUGAAUUGACCUCUCUAAAAUAACGAGAAAGAUGAACCUUGAAGAUCGCCACAAAAGCUGCUGACAUUGAAUGAAUUAAUAAUAAUUAAUUAAUUUAAUUAUAAAAGCAACAAUGUGUGAAUAAAUUGAUUUUAAAACAAGGCGAUUUUUGCACCCAAACACGACGUCGUUAGGUUUCGCGGGCUACGUAUUCCAAUUUCCCGUUUUCCUCCCUGCUUCUCCUUCGCAGUGCUCGUGGAAGACGGAACGAGGGGGAAGCUUCAGCCAAAAACACCAGACUUGAAGCACACAAUGUGUGGAGACGCAACGAACUGGGAUGAGAAUGCAUACAGGGAGAGGAUAUUGAAGGAGCGAGAGAUCCCAACCCUAACCGUUUUUAGAACCGUAUGGGCUCCCUCUCCAAACCCUAGCCCUGACACCGUCGUAGUUGCUUCCAGUGACGGAUCAAUCGCUUCUUACUCUAUCUCCUCUUGCAUCUCCAAGCUUGUAGCUUCCCUUUCAUUUUUUUUUCUUUUCCAAUGCUCCUUUCAAUUUAUCAAAUGCAUUGAACAAGUAUGCAAUUGGAUUCAAUUUUAUAGUUUGGUUUAUUUAUUUUAUUCUUUUAACAGCCAUUGGGUUUUAGCAAUGCCAACGCUCAACAGUAAGUAGGGUGUGGGAGAUUAGUUGUCAGUUUUAAGUCUCUGUUUCACUGGUAUGAAUUGUGCUCACCUACGUUCUGAUACUUGCUUAGGGUUGAACCUACUGCCUUUCUUCAAGGGCACGAAGGGCCAGCAUAUGAUGUCAAAUUCUAUGGUGAAGCUGAAGAUGCUUUAUUAUUGAGCUGUGGGGAUGAUGGUCGAAUUCGGGGUUGGAAGUGGAAGGAAUUUACACAAUUAGAGGCACCCAUUUCUUUGAAAGGAAUUCACAUACAGCCAGUACUUGACUUGAUGAAUCCCCAGCAUAAGUGAGUGAUCAUAAGUCAUAAAAUAUGCUAUUGUGGACCUUUUCUUAAGUUAUUCACUACUUCUUCUAUCUUUUAAGAUGCUAAAUCAUCAUAUAUUUUGGUUCUACAUUUUAAGUUGGCAUACUAAAUUAUCAAAAGAAGCUAGUCUUCAACAAUCUUCUUCCUCCAAUUAGUUUGUACCUUGUGACAAUUUUGCUCCAAUGCCUAUGUUAUCACAGGGCAUGUUGGCAUGCUACAAUUGUUAAUCCAAUGCCCAAUGCUAUGGAUAGUGUAACUUUGAUUUCGUGAACAAUAUAGUAGAUCAUGCUUGUUUGCUGUAAACUUAACUAUUGGUGCUAAGUUGCUUAAAUUUUUUUGGUAUGCGCUGAUUAUUGAGAUGGAUUGGGGAAGGGCUUUCUUUUGUUUUCAUUUUAUCUUCUGAUAAUGCAUUCUCUUUUUAUUGCUGUUUUUUAGAGGUCCUUGGGGUGCUCUUUCCCCAAUCCCUGAAAACAAUGCCAUUGCUGUGGAUAAACAGGAGGGAUGCAUAUUCUCAGCUGUUGGUGAUUCUUGUGCAUAUUGUUGGGAUGUGGUAUGUAUUGUUCAAAGUGAAUGAAUCACACAUUAUUAAGUUCUGCCAUUGAAAUGUUGGUGAAUCUGAUGCACUCUUAGACAGCUUCACGUGUUCUUGAUUUAUUCUUAAAGCAGUGCUAAUGUCAGCAUGGUUAUUUAUGGAGCUUUUCAGGAGACUUCUAAGAUCAAAAUGGUUUUUAAGGGACACUUGGACUACUUGCAUUGUAUAGUUGCCCGUAAUUCUACCAAUCAGAUCAUAACUGGUUCAGAAGAUGGAACUGCAAGAAUUUGGGGUAAAAUUCCAGAUUUUGAUUUUCAAGGAUUUAAGAUGCAAAGUUUCCUGCCAUUCCAUUAAUGCUUUGUGUAACUUUAUUGGGAAAGAGGAAGAAUCUUUCUAGAAUUAAAUUGUUGUCCUUUUCACUGCUUUAACUUUUCCAUAAAGCAGAUGAUUUUAGAUCAUGGUAACAUCAAAAGCCACUGCAUAACUGCUAUAUGAGAAAACAUAUAUCCACUGGAUAAUCUGAAGUAACUUCUGGAAUUAUUUUGUUGCCGCUAUAGUCCCGUCAUGAAUUCAGUCUCAAUGUAACUGCAAACAGAUCUAAUUAUAUUUGUUUCUGUUUAUGGAUAUAAUAUUUGAUUACUUGAUUAUCUGAGAUUGUGCUUAGUGCAUGUGUUUAUGGUUUUCCUUAGAUUGCAAAAGUGGGAAGUGUGUCCAAGUAAUUGAUUCAGAGAAAGAUAAGAAGUUGAAACGAUCCUCAUUUGUUAGCUGCGUUGCUCUUGACGCAAGUGAGAGCUGGUUGGUAAGAGUUCAUGCAGCAAAGAAGUGAUUGGAUUUUCCUUUUAUACGACUGGUUUAAUAUUUUGUGUUUUGUAGUUAUGGAACUGACAAAUGUUAAUGUUAAGCAUGCUUCUCUACUAGAACUGUCAGACCUACGUUAAGAACAUGAGAAAUAAAUAUCAAUAAUUAAUGUAUAUAUGGAUCCUUUUACAUUUUAAGUUUCAGAAAUAGUUCUUUGUGGUGGUUGCAUGGCUUAUUGUGUGGCUUUAUUGAACCAAAUAUUAUAUUCGUAGGCUUUUAGCAAUGGUCAGAAUUUAUCAGUUUGGAAUCUUCCGGCUUCUGAAUGUGUUACAAGGGCUUCUAUUCGUGCAUCCAUACAGGAUGUGAUAUUUGAAGACAACCAAGUAAGUGAAUUUUUUUCCCCAGACAAUAUGUAGUUUGAGCAGGUCUGGGACCGAGGUUUACAUUUUCUCUACAAGGCAUAGGACUUAUUUACUUUUUCUCAUUUUCUUUGUUUAUUCGUAUGGAAAUAUUUUCUCAAUCUUAUUUGCAUUGUUAUCAUCAUGUCAGGUUUUAGCUGUUGGAGCUGAGCCUCUACUCAGCCGUUUCGACAUAAAUGGGGCAAUUGUUUCACAAAUACCAUGUGCUCCUCAGUCAGCAUUUUCUGUCUCUAUACACCCAUCUGGAGUAUAUUUCUAUCUACUCCACUUUCACUAUUGUUAAUUUAUUGCCUUUUGGGGGGGACUAAAGGGGCAAAAAAUCCCUUUUAAGCUUAGGCCGAUAGUCAAUUUGGUCCUUGACAUUGAAGUAGGGUUAAUUGAGCCCCUUGACUCCUAAUUUCAGUCCAAAUCAUUCCAAAUCACAUGUGUGGCACAUGAUAAAUGGGAUUCACUUCCGUUUCUUUUUUCCCCCUAAUCAUUUACCUACAUUUUCUCACUUGAUUCUCUCUCUAUCCCUGUGUCAUUCUCUUCAUUUCUCUUCAUCAUUUAUUUUUUCCAUUUGCAUGUGUUCUACCCUUAGAAUGAGGAGGAAAAUUUGGGAAGCUGGUUUUGAGUGGUUCAAGAAUUUCCCGUGCAUUGACAGAAUUUUCACUUUCAGCCAAAUGUUGUGACAUCGCAAUAGGUCCAAAAUUUUCACUUUCAAUCACAACCCAAAUAGGGAUUUUACUUCUUUGAUCCCACGAGAAUGUGACUCUCUGGUCUCAAUUCUUUGCCUCUUCCUCAUCAGACCCCAGAUCCUUUUUCCUCGCCCUUUCAACCUCUCUGCGCCACCAUUGAAAUCCAGUUUUGAGGGCUGUACUGUUAAGGUCUAGCUCACCCAGAACCUAGCACUCGAUUAGACUUUCACAGUGGAAAGCAUGAGCAAAAGUUAGUGUUUCGGCUCUUUUUUGUUUAGGAAACUGAUUCAACUUUUUGAGCUCCAUAGAUUCAUGGGUUUGUGUUUGAUUUGCCUGGGAAAGGAUUCUCUGAUAAGUCAGUAGAGAUGUAUGAGGAGGGGGGAGAUGGGAUUUUGGAGAGGUUAUUGAAUGUGAACAAUGAGUUGUUUUUAUUAUUUUCACCUGUUAUCUCUGUUUGUAGACCCCAUAAUUCUAAUUCACCAAACAGGAUUUGUAACUCUGUUAGCAUUUGGGCUUAUUUAGGCUGAAAUUAAGACUUUGGGGGCCUAAUUGAUCCAAGUUGAACAUUGGAGAGCAAAUUGACUAUUAGCUUAAACAUUAAGGGUUUUUUGUUUUUUUUGACCCUUUGGCCUUUUUGGGGUCAGGUGGUAAUGAGGGUGAUAUGGGUUUGAGAUUCAGUGUGCUUGUGGUUACUUCAGCUUGGUCAUGGUCAUGUAUUAUAUUAGCUGUUCUUGCACUUAUGGAUGGUUAUCAUACUAGUGUAUUUCCUUUAUUUGUUUGCAUUGAGGAAUGAACCCUCGAAUUCUGAAUCUAUACUGCCUUGGCUCAUCACUUUACCCCAACUCAUUUAUGUCAGACACAUUGUUGACUGUUGACACUUAAAAUUGGCUGUGGGCGCUUGGUUAUGAUUCUCUAAAUAUGGGGAAAAAGAUAUGAAAAAACUGAAUGUACCAUGUUGGAUAUGGGUACAUACCCAACACCUGUAUUUGAGUCUGAGCAGCAUGGUAUGAAACAAAUGGUAAGUCCCAACAUCUGUUAAAUUAUCACAGACAGAAUACGAUAACAAAAGGAAAUGCAAAGGUUUUCCAAGAUGAUUUUGCUUUGUUUGCUGAACCUAGUGCCCUGUCCCAAUGAGCUUUCAAGGGAUGGGAUCGGAAUGGAAGUAAUUAAAGAUGACUGUUACUUGCAUUGUUGUGAAAGACCAGUACAGAUUGUUUUUGUUCACAGAAAUGGAUUACAAAAGAUGAAAUGUUGAACCUUAGUGACAUUGGCUAAAGUGGCGCAUGCAGAUUCAUUUCUGAGGAUCUAUAGAAAACAUGGGUUUAGAGAGGAGAAAAUGGAAGAAGAGGAUGGCUGAUUCUCACUACUGAUAGAAGUUUACUUGAGCUGAGUGCCACAAGUAGAGGAUUGAAUUGAAAGGAGAAUUAAUGGUUGAAAUUUUUGUAGUGUAUAUAUCUAGGAUUGAAUUAUCCUUUUCAUUCAGGUUUUUGCUGUAUUUGGUAACUUCUUGCACUUUUAUUUGCAUUUGGCCAGAUCUAGGGUUUAACAUUGUCUGUUAGAAAAAAUAUUCCCCCCCUCUCCUUCCCCUCUUUCCUACUAUUGCUCAUAUGUUUAUGCACUGUUUAUCGAGCUCCUGACCCUAUUGCUUUGUUCAGGUGAUUGCUGUUGGAGGUUACGGAGCUCUUGUAGAUAUCAUUUCCCAGUUUGGAAGUCACUAUUGCACAUUCCGCUGCAAAUGUGUGUAGAUAAUUCGUUAUUCUUCUAUGGUUCUGAUGAAUAUUCGGAAUAACAGGUGAGUUUUGUGCACAAAGAUGAGUUGGAAGAAGAUGCCUAGUUAAUGUUGGGAUUUUGUAAGGUUGCUGAAAAUCCUUGGUAUUGAACUUUCGAUUAACACAUUGUUAUCUUAAAGUGCAAUACGUCAAUGGAGCAUGAACUGCUAUAAUCGUAAAAAAAUUUUAAAAUAAAACAUUGUACUAACUUAUUAUGUUUUCUUCCUCCAGGAACUAGAUAUCAAGUCUUAGUAACAUUUUUGUGGUAUGCAAGCCACUUGUUCACAUUUACUUGGAAAAAUUUCAAACUAUAUGCAGUGGCAUUUGAACAUUUGUGUUCAAUCGCGGCUACUGCUAUAUCCAUAUAAUCUGUGUAUUCUGAGUUUUUAGGGAAAUGCAUUCAUCAGUUCUGUUUCUGGUGAUCUUCAUGCCGAUGAAUGAACAGACAUGGUUCAUAUCAUACUUGAACCUCUU